rfam:Serratia sp. M24T3 contig015, whole genome shotgun sequence.
UCCUCUGUAGUUCAGUCGGUAGAACGGCGGACUGUUAAUCCGUAUGUCACUGGUUCAAGUCCAGUCAGGGGAG